CCUUUCAUAUAUUCUUUUUUUUGGCCCUUGCUUUAUGAUUUAUGCUAGAGGAUAAAAAUCUAGGUUCUCACAUUCUGCCCCCCCUUAAGAAUAAUUUCAUCCUCGAAAAUUGACAUACUACAAGUUGAGACCUUAAGGGUUCAAACUUCAUAUCGUAUCCUUGACCACCUAAAAAAAAAACUUUCUUCAUUCGAAAAGAAAUUACAAAACUCUAUAUAUCA
rnacentral:lncRNA from 1 species